GCCCGUUUGGCUCAGUGGAUAGAGCUUUGACCUGCAAACUGAAAGGUCCUGGGUUCGAGUCCCAUCAAGGGCA
rnacentral:tRNA from 1 species